CCUACGGGCGGCAGCAGUGGGGAAUAUUGGGCAAUGGGCGCAAGCCUGACCCAGCAACGCCGCGUGAAGGAAGAAGGCUUUCGGGUUGUAAACUUCUUUUAUUAGGGACGAAGCAUGUGACGGUACCUGAUGAAUAAGCCACGGCUAACUAAGUGCCAGGAGCCGCGGUAAUACGGAGGGGGCAAGCGUUCUCCGGAUUUACUGGGUGUACAGGGCGUGUAGGCGGGAGUGCAAGUCAGAUGUGAAAACUAUGGGCUCAACCCAUAGACUGCAUUUGAGACUGUAAUUCUGGAGUGCUGGAGAGGCAAGCGGAAUUCCGGGUGUAGCGGUGAAAUGCGUAGAUAUACGGAGGAACACCAGUGGCGAAGGCAGAUUGCUGAACAGUAACUGACGCUGAGGCGCGAAAGCGUGGGGAGCAAACAGGAUUAGAUACCCGAGUAGUC
rnacentral:rRNA from 1 species